UAACAACAAGUACAAGGGUAUUCUUAUUUUGUUAUCAAAAACAUCGUGUGAAAAAAGCAAAAAUAUUUAAUGUUUAUGCUGUUAGGCUGUACGGUAUAAUACCUUUGCUUUCCGACAUGACCAAAGUCAACAAGUUGUUGUGUCAAAUGUCAACGUCAACUCAAUUAUUGAAAUACCGGAGUUCUUAUUUGUAAACUACAAAUUGAAAAUUUGUCACCAAAUAAUAAUUGAAUUGAAUUAAAUUACAACAUAUUAUCACGGAAAGCAACAAUAUAACUAGUCUAUGCAAUUUUAUGCUAUCUGGAUAUCCAAGGAAAACAGACGUAGUCUUCAAAUUCUUUCGGGAAUAUGCAUACACAAUCAAAAGCUAAUGACUAUACAUGAUUUUGAUGACAACUUUCCCAUAAAACAGCAAGCUAAAUUUAGUACCAGAUAAUCUUAAGAUCCGGCGCCGCUUCGGACUAAAUGUUAAUAAUUCUUAAGUAUAUAGUCUUAUUGACAUUAUUGCUCUUCCUAAGACGUCAAAACGAAACCUUAACUUCAAAACAAAGGCGACAAAUAACUACGGAAAAGAAAAUGGCAAAGGAACUUUAAGAAGAAGGUAUCAAAAAGAGAAAAUUAGAACAAACAAAACCAGAAUAUGCAGAAAAACAAAAUAUAGGAAAUGGUAAAGGGGAAAGAAAAAGGAAGGCAGAAGACAGUUCAUAAAUUAAAAAGAAAAUAUUGUCAAAAUGUUUAGGAUUCAGCAGAAUCUGAAAUAAAUAACAAUUUUAUACAUGGAAACUAUUAUAUGGUCUAAGUAUUGUUAAGAUUAACAAGUAAGGCGGGAAACAAAACAAAGUUAAACAGCAGCUAAAUUUACAAAAUUCUGGCAGACUCCGAUUAGGAUAUUCUCAAUUAGUUAAGGUAAACUCUGCUUUAUAUAAGUAGUACUAUACUAUACUAGUAUUUUGGUCUAAAAGACCAGCUAAUCAAAAAAGUUUUAUAGAAAUAUAUGUUAGAAAAUUA